rnacentral:lncRNA from 1 species
GAGGAUACGCCUAUCACUGUUUAAAUGAUAAUCAUAGUUAUUUGUUUUUAAAUUUUGAUUUAUCUAAGGUUUCUCUUUUUGUAUAGUUCAUGUUUGUAGUACAUAAUGUUUGCAUUCCUUGUGAAGAAUUUCUAAGAUUUCUUAAUCAAAUCUAAUCAUUUUCUUUAUGAUUUCUUUUAUUAUAAUUUUGCUUUUUCAGAGAGUAGAUACUAAUUCAUCUGUAUCAUCCCCUAAGCAUUAAUUCCAUGCUUAUCUAUUAGUAAUUGUUUUUUGACAGACCAAAGCAUGUCCUCCUCAUCUCUUCUUUUGGCAGAUCUGGGUUUUAUUCUUCCAUUUCCCAGAUUAUUUAAUCAAAUAUUCUUGGAAAAACAGGAGGGAGGGGAAGGAGGAAAGGAAAAAAGAAAGGAGGGAGGAAGAAGGGCAAGAUGAGAAGAAAGGUAGGAGUCUGACUAAAAGCAAAUUGCAGACUAGAAUAGAGACUCCCCAGGAAAAUAUUAAGUUUAAACCUUGGAGAACAAAGGUUAGUUUUCCUAACCUGCUUUUAUGGGUCAUUUGGAGCUGAAAUAGUUGCUGUUGCCAAGAAGUUCAAAGCCAAGUUUGAAAUUUGAUCACAGCAAUGUGGUCAACCUUUAUUGAUGGAUAUUUGUUAUCUUUGGUCUUGAUUUUCCCUUUAUAUUAUGUUUUCCUGGCUCAUUAUAUGUGUCUUUUGUUGCAAACUAUCUCAAAUCCUAUAUGGGAAGAGCUAAAGUGGAUUCAAAGUUCUGAAGAAUGAAUGACUUCUAAAGAAUAAGUCUUCCUUGGGGAGUGAAAUAGUUUGCAGUUUGUUGUAGUCCCACUAAACCUCCUUUGUUGAUCUUGAAAUAUUUCAUCAUACAGAAGUGCAUGUAGAAUAGUAUCUCAAAUAAAUACCCUGCAAGCACCACCAAGCAUAACACAUCUUAAUAUUUUCCACAUUUGUUUCAGAUUUUAAAAAUAACACAUUGGAAAUAGAGAUGGAGCCUCUGUGUACCCUCUUCCCCUCCCAAAAGGCUGUCAUCUUUGCCAAAGGUUGGAUGAAAAUGGAGCCAGGAGUUGAAGGCCAGAAGUUCUCCACACCUACCUCACACAUCCAGCCUCUGGGUAUUUACAUUUUCUGCUACAUUGCAAACCAGUGUAACUAACUCGGCUUCUCUGUCUUCUGUCACUGUGAAAUACCACCUUUCCAUGGCAAUAGGGAUACAUUUUCCUUUGAAUCCGUGCAUGUGUGUGUGUGUGUUUGUGUGUGUGUGUGUGUGUGCGCGCAUGCACAUGUACUGCUGAGAAUUGAACCCAUCGCCUUGCACAUGCUAGACAAGCACUCUACCACUGAGCUAUACUCCUGGACCCCAAGUCUUUUUAGAACAGGAUGCAGCAGGAGUUGCCCAUCAGAGGAGGAGGUUCAGAACCC